rnacentral:rRNA from 1 species
GACGGAAGGUGCAAGCGUUGCUCGGAAUUACUGGGCGUAAAGCGUGCGUAGGCGGUUCGUUGUGUCUGUGGUGAAAGCCCCGGGCUUAACCUGGGAAUGGCCAUGGAAACUGGCGAGCUGGAGUGUGGCAGAGGGGGGUGGAAUUCCGCGUGUAGCAGUGAAAUGCGUAGAGAUGCGGAGGAACACCGAUGGCGAAGGCAGCCCCCUGGGCUAACACUGACGCUGAGGCACGAAAGCGUGGGGAGCAAACAGG